rnacentral:rRNA from 1 species
UACGUAGGGAGCAAGCGUUGUCCGGAAUCAUUGGGCGUAAAGCGCGCGUAGGUGGCUUCGUAAGUCCGUUGUGAAAGUCAAAGGCUCAACCUUUGAAUGCCGAUGGAUACUGCGGAGCUAGAGUACGGAAGAGGCGAGUGGAAUUCCUGGUGUAGCGGUGGAAUGCGCAGAUAUCAGGAGGAACACCAAUAGCGAAGGCAACUCGCUGGGACGUUACUGACACUAAGGCGCGAAAGCGUGGGGAGCGAACAGG